rnacentral:rRNA from 1 species
CCUACGGGAGGCAGCAGUGAGGAAUAUUGGUCAAUGGGCGGAAGCCUGAACCAGCCAAGUAGCGUGCAGGAUGACGGCCCUAUGGGUUGUAAACUGCUUUUAUACAGGAAUAAAGUUAGCCACGUGUGGUUAUUUGUAGGUACUGUAUGAAUAAGGACCGGCUAAUUCCGUGCCAGCAGCCGCGGUAAUACGGAAGGUCCAGGCGUUAUCCGGAUUUAUUGGGUUUAAAGGGAGCGUAGGCCGUCUGUUAAGCGUGUUGUGAAAUGUAGAUGCUCAACAUCUGAAUUGCAGCGCGAACUGGCAGACUUGAGUGUGCGCAGCGUAGGCGGAAUUCGUGGUGUAGCGGUGAAAUGCUUAGAUAUCACGAAGAACUCCGAUUGCGAAGGCAGCUUACGGGAGCACAACUGACGCUGAAGCUCGAAAGUGCGGGUAUCGAACAGGAUUAGAUACCCUGGUAGUCCGCACGGUAAACGAUGGAUGCCCGCUGUUGACCCACCUGGGCCAGCGGCCAAGCGAAAGCAUUAAGCAUCCCACCUGGGGAGUACGCCGGCAACGGUGAAACUCAAAGGAAUUGACGG